AGGAGGAACAGCCCCAGUGGCGGGGCAGCUCUGGGAACCUGGAUUCAGCUCCGGCAGGAACUCCGUCUGCAGGGCCUGGAGGCUCCGGGGCGGG
rnacentral:pre_miRNA from 1 species